GGGGUUGUAGCUCAGAGGUAGAGCACUUGCCUGACAUGUGUGAGGCACUGGGUUCCAUCCCAGGAACCACG
rfam:Ictidomys tridecemlineatus contig038311, whole genome shotgun sequence.